UAUCACAGGGAGAAAACCAGUGACACAAACAUAUGUAUGUAGUCGUGUUUGUAUGUGUGUGUGAGUGGGCAGUCACAAAACCAAAAGAACUCCAUUAGUGACCAUAUAAGGGCAGAGCCGAGGAGCAGGAAGUGGGGAUUUCUCUGCAGGAGAGUCAUGUGACUUACAGUCACUGUACACUGCAGACACACACACCUCUCACGUGUGUGUGUGAAUCAAAGCUUCCUGUAAACCAGCUGUUGAACCAACUUCACCGAGAAGGAAGAAAAAAAGCAUUGUUUCAAUACUUUUUAUUUCCUUCAAAUUCUCUGAUGUCAUUGACACAUCAACCACUCACCUCCUCCUCCUCCUCUACCUCUUCCUCCUUCUCCUCUAGUCCUCCACCUCCUUCUCUUCUUCUAUUUCCCCUUCCCCUCCUCCUCCUUCCAGUAGUAGCAGUACUCCUAUCAGCAUCAGUGUUCUUCUCAUGAUGACAACAUCAGGUGUUGCAGUGGUGAUGUCAUCAGGUGGUGCGCUGAUGACAUCACCAUUGUAUUCUUGUGUGUUGUGUGUAGAGCUUGUUGUCAUCUAUCUAUCUAUGGGUUCUGGUCCAAAUGUAAACCCAGACCUCAGACCAGAUCUUCAUGCAUAUCCUGGACCAGUUCUUAUCUCACAGACUGAUCCGGACCCUAUACAUACAAAAACCACUAAAUCAGAUUCUACGGUCAUGACCUUGACUCCUGACUCCACCCCCUUUUUCCCAGCCUCCUAAUCGCUAACCUCUGACAACUCUGUGUGGUCAGCAUGAAGGUUAGAGAUCUCACCUUUGACCUGUGAGAAUCUGACAGUCAGAGGUGACAGCUUCUCACACUCAGAGGUGUCACAUGGUCACAGCUGCUGCCCAUCAGUCAGCUGACCAACGGCUGACCCCGGACACCUGACCAAUCAUCUGAUCAGGGACUGAUAACCACUGAGGGUUUAGCUUCUGAUGAGGGUCCUGAACCAGACCUGGUGUCCAGGGUCUAGUAGAGACAGAGUCUCAGUUUGUCCUCAGUCUCAAACUGUCAGUGUGUGUAUGGACCUGGGCCUGAGCUCAGUGGUGAGCAGACCAGUCCUCUCUCUGUCGUCUGUCCACACUACAUUCACACUGAGACAUUCAUGUCUAAUGUUCUGAUGUUUUUUUGUUUGUUGACAUAUUACUCACAGUGACAUCAGCUGUCUCUCUCUCUCUCUCUCUUUCUUUCUCUCUCCCCCAUCCCUCCCUGCUCUGCUCUGAUUGGUGUGCAAAGCCUGCUCUACUAUUUGACUCAUCCAAUCAGUAGAGGGGUGGGGUGAUAUCAUCAUUGGCAUUGACUCAAUGGUCACAUGACACGUCCAUGACUCUCCCCCCCACACUCUCUCUCUCUAUGUAUUUCCCACAGAAGCUCAGGGAUUCCAGUAAAAACAUCUGUGACAUCACACACAGCUGAUCUGCUGCAGAUGAUGUCAUACUAGAACAAUGACAUCAUCAGUGCAGCUGCUGUUUUUCUAAGUAUGGAGAGAAACAGUGAGAAACAAAGCCAGGGGUGGCUGUUGGCUUUCAUGUGACCAGUCUGACCCACAGCAUGACUGGUCUCAUGACCCUGGCAGCAGACUCUAGUGUGUGGGACUUCCCUGGGUCUGCUGACCUCAGAGGAAGAAGAAGAAGAGGAGGAGGAGGAGCAUAUAAACACACUGAGAAUUCCUGCUUAUUAUAAGAUGUGACAUCACAGGAAGACGCUGGAGGCUGUUUGUUCACAGGUGUGUGUUCUCUGAUGAUUCAAAACACACACACAGAUCAGCCCCACCUAAAUGCUGUUUUUUUAACACUGCUAGCUGCUACAGAAUCCGGCUGCUUCUGGCCAUUUUUAGUUAGCAUUUGCUUCAUUAACGUCACUAACCAUUCAUCUUACUUUGGCUAACAUUUGUCUUCUGCUAGGGGCUAACUCUUACCAAUAUCUAAGCUAAAU